rnacentral:tRNA from 1 species
GCUCCAGUGGCGCAGUGGUAGCGCUUCGUGCUUAUAGUCUUGUCUGACAAUGGCUAUGCCAACGUCACGGUCGUGUGAGGAACGCGAUGGUCGUGGGUUCAAACCCCUCCUGGAGCA